AUGCUCACUUCAGCAGCACAUAUAGUAAAACUGGAACAAUAUAGAGAAGAUUAGCAUGGUCCCUGCCCAAAAUGAUACCCAAAUUCGUGAAGUAUUCCAUGUUUUU